AUGUAAUGCCUACAAUGUUAAUGCACCAGAUUCCAUUAGAACUCCAUAGUUAAGUGCGCUUGGGCUAGAGUAGUAUUGGGAUGGGUGGCCUCAUGGGAAGUCCUAGUGUUUUACAUG
rnacentral:rRNA from 1 species